UGUUUAUCAAAAACAUGUCUUUUUGAUGAUAUUUGAAAGUCUGGCCUGCCCACUGAUAAUUUGAAGGGCCGCAGUAUUUUGACUGUGCAAAGGUAGCAUAAUCAUUUGUCUCUUAAUUAGAGGCUGGAAUGAAUGGUUGGACGAAACGUGGACUGUCUCGUUAUUAAAGAUUUAUGAAUUUAGCUUUUGAGUUAAAAGGCUUAAAUUUUUUUGGAGGACAAGAAGACCCUAUAGAGCUUUAUAGUAAAUUAAUUAUGUAAUUAUAGAAUUUGAUAUGUUUUAAUUUAUUUUAUUAUUUUGUUGGGGUGACGAGAAAAUUGGAAUAACUUUUCUUGGAAUUUAACAUUGAUUUAUGAAAUUUAUGAUCCAUUUUUUGUGAAUUAAGAUUAAGUUACCUUAGGGAUAACAGCGUAAUUUUAUUGGAGAGUUCUUAUUGAUAAUAAAGUUUGCGACCUCGAUGUUGAAUUAAAAAAGCUUUAAAGUGCAGCAGCUUUAAAAAGUAGGUCUGUUCGACCUUUAAAUUUUUCAUGAUCUGAGUUCAAACCG
rnacentral:rRNA from 1 species